GCUAAAGCCCAAGCAUUACAAGAUGGCCAUAUUUUUGCCCAUAAAUAAUCAACUCCAGCCUUGGUUUCUCCUCCUGCAAAGAAAAAGAUAGAAGUUAGAGAGAAAGAGCUAGAGAGAAGUGAGAGAAGAGAAAGUGUGAACCUUUGGAGAAGCUGAGCCACCAGAGCUCGCCGGAGCCACCACACGCCAAGACCAAGCCAAGCUCAUCACCACCGUUCGUUGUAGUCGGUAAGCGUCGGAAACCGCCAUGCAUUUGAGUUUAGUUUCGUGCGUUUAGUAAAUCGUCUAUAACUUUCUAACCGUUGCGAAUCUCGUGCAUGCAAACCCACCAUCGUGUUCCUCUCGUCGAGACGAAUCCAUAGCCACCAGAAUCGUCGCAAUCGGAGCUCGGACGAAGCCGUACGAGCCCUCCAAAGUUUCGCCGGAAAUCGCAUCCGCCACCGCCGGACCACCGUUAUCCGCCGCCGGACCACCGCUUCUCCGACGCCGGUCCGCCGCUUAUCCGCCGCCGGACUGUCAUCGCCGCCGGUAAGCCUCCGCCGUCGCCGCCGGUGAUCGUCGCCGGUGACUCGCCGGUGACUCGGUCAACUCGGCCGAGUCAACUCAGCGAGUCAACUCGGUUGACUCGGUAAACCGGUCGGUUGACUGGUUUGACCCGGUUUAAAUUAAUUUAGUUCGGUUAGGGUCGGUUAGGAAUAAACCGGUCGGUUAUGUCAAAUUGAUUUCUGGUCAAGGGUUGACCAGAUUGACCUUUGACCAGCGAGUUGACUUUUCCGUAAACCUUGACCAUAACCGUUUUCAUCCGUUCGAAAGGCGUUCUGACUCAGAAUUUCAUCCUGGUUUCAGAUUUGGAGUCUAUUUUAUCAGUGGGAGUUCAUAGAUACCACUUCUCUUCAUUGCUAAGAUGCCGCCGAGGAGAGCUACCCGUGCUCAGAUCGCUAGAGAUGCUAGAGAGGCUCAGGAUGAGCAUGUUCAGCCUGCAGUUCCGCAGCCCGAGGUUCCUCAGGUUGACCAGGAGGCUAUGAGACAGAUGGUUCAGGAUGCUGCUAGACAGGCUGCUCAGGAAGCAGUUCAGCAGAUUGCUCAGGAGACAGCCAGGCAAGCCGCUCAAGAGGCUGCCCGAGUAGCUGCUCAGGAAGUUGCUCGACAGAUGGCUGCAGCUCAGCAGGUUCCGCAGGGUCCUCAGAUUCAUGUGCAGCAGGGUCCGCAGAUUCAUAUGCAGCAGGUUCCGCCCGUUCAGGUUCAGCAUGAUCAUCAGGCUCCAGCUCAGCAGGCCCCAGCGCCACAAUAUCCGCAGGUUCCUAUUCAGCCGGUUCCAGGUGUCUUUCAGGUUCCGCCGCCGCCACCCGUCAUUCCAGUGCAUGUGCCCGAGGUUGAUGAAACAUUUAUCAGGGUGUUGUCACAGAUGAAGUAUGUUAACUUGGAGCAUUUCAGUGGUACCACAGACCCUACACUUGCUCACGAUUGGAGGCACAGUUUGGAUAAGUGUUUGAACACUAUCUCAUGCCCACCAAGGCACAAGCUUAGGAUUGCUGAGUUGUAUUUGCGCGGAGAUGCAGCAGUGUGGUGGGAUGGAGUGCGAGUGAUGCACCACGGCGAGAUGACUUAUGAGGAUUUCAUGUAUGCAUUCAACAAGAAGUAUUUUCCAAGAGAAGCUUUGGAUGAGAAGAAGAACGAUUUUGAGAGUUUGAGGCAGGGUGGAAAGUCUGUCAGAGAAUAUGAGCAUGAGUUUCGCCAGCUUCACCGAUUUGCGGGUAAUGGUAUGGAUGAGGAGGAUCUUAUCAGGAGGUUCUUAAAAGGGAUGCGAGUAGAACUUCACGGUAGGUGCAGUAUGGUCACCUAUACCAGUUUGGAAGAUCUGGUAGAAAAGGCCGUUGUGCAAGAGAAAUGUAUUGCAGCGGAGCAGAAGUUCAACAAGGCAGCUCAGCCUAAGUCUGAAGAAGCUUCAGGGUCACAGAAGAGGACAUGGGAUCAGCCGAGUAUCCAGUGCCAUAAUUGUGGGUUGUUCGGGCAUGUUUCUAGAAAUUGCCGAAAGCCACUAGUUACCCAGUUUAUAGCGCCAGGAGCACCAGUAGCAGCAGCAGCAGCUAGGAACUGUUAUGGUUGUAACCAGCCAGGUCAUAUCUUCAGAGAUUGCCCUAGGAGGGGCAAUGCAGCGCUUCCACCACCACCGAAGCGCCUAGCCAUCGUUCCACGUGUGUUCACGGUGGGAGAUCACCAGGGAGCUGAGCCGAUAGCGGGUAUGUAUCUUUAUCAUACUUGUUUGUGUUAAGUAUUUGUUGUGGUCUCGUAAUUAUCUGUGUAGUUAGCAAAAAUCUCGUGUAGUUCGGUUUUGCUUAGAAGUAAGUUAGCUUGCACCUUGUUCGACAUGGAAGCUUCCCACAGAUUUGUGAGUUCACAUAUGGUCAAGUCUUAGCAUUUUUGGUGUAUCUUUAAAAGAAGACAAAGAGGGUUUGAGAGCAAUCAGUAUUCAUCGCGAUGUACCAGUUGCCUUUCGAGUAUUAAGAUGGCACCAUAUGAAGUCCUUUACAACAAGUUUUAUUACAUACCGCUUUGUUGAAGACAAAAGUGGGGGAGCGACGUGAGGUAAAAACCGCAAUGGGUCAAGAGAUGGUAGAGCAAAUGGACGUGAUCAAGUUUGGCCUUGGGAAGGCCAUGACCGUGAAAAGAAGUUAUGCAUGUAUGCAUCGUAAGGAUUUGGAGUUUCAUGCCAGUGAAUGAAUAUACCUAAAAUGAAGACAUUUUAAGGAGGAGCUAAGACACGGAAGUUGAAGAAGCUUAAACCGAAGUACAUGUUAUCAUAUCUUAUUUUUGGAGCGGUUUGGAGCAGUUCUUAGAGAUUGGAUUUAUCAACAGAGUUAUCAGAAUUUCAAGACGUGUUAAAUGUAUCUAUUAUGAAGAAGUCGAGAGAAAGUCAGAGCUUAUUUUCCAGCUGUGCCAGAUGACCUUAAAGAGAUUGUAAGCAUCUUCUCGACCAGUGAAGAUUUCGGAUCACCAAGUAAAAGCAUUUCAGAGAAUAAAACUGUGUUUGUCAGAGUUCGUUGAGAGAGAGACGAAGUUCAGGAGAAGACCUCAAAGAGAGCAGAUUGGGUAUCCGGAGUUUGUUACAAUGAUAUUGGACAUGUCAACUCCAUAUUCGAAUUCGGGGACGAAUUCCUUGUAAGUGGGGGAGAAUUGUAACGACCCGAAUUCUGGUUUCGAAAAUUUUUAGCCGGCUAAAGCCCAAGCAUUACAAGAUGGCCAUAUUUUUGCCCAUAAAUAAUCAACUCCAGCCUUGGUUUCUCCUCCUGCAAAGAAAAAGAUAGAAGUUAGAGAGAAAGAGCUAGAGAGAAGUGAGAGAAGAGAAAGUGUGAACCUUUGGAGAAGCUGAGCCACCAGAGCUCGCCGGAGCCACCACACGCCAAGACCAAGCCAAGCUCAUCACCACCGUUCGUUGUAGUCGGUAAGCGUCGGAAACCGCCAUGCAUUUGAGUUUAGUUUCGUGCGUUUAGUAAAUCGUCUAUAACUUUCUAACCGUUGCGAAUCUCGUGCAUGCAAACCCACCAUCGUGUUCCUCUCGUCGAGACGAAUCCAUAGCCACCAGAAUCGUCGCAAUCGGAGCUCGGACGAAGCCGUACGAGCCCUCCAAAGUUUCGCCGGAAAUCGCAUCCGCCACCGCCGGACCACCGUUAUCCGCCGCCGGACCACCGCUUCUCCGACGCCGGUCCGCCGCUUAUCCGCCGCCGGACUGUCAUCGCCGCCGAUUUGGAGUCUAUUUUAUCAGUGGGAGUUCAUAGAUACCACUUCUCUUCAUUGCUAAGGUGAGACCGAUGAGCAGGAGUGAUCAUAUCGGACUAGUGCUACUAUUUGGGCUCGUGGGCUUUAUCGCUUUAUUGUUUUAUUUUCUAUCGUUAUUGGGCUUUUAGGCCUUCGGACUUCUAUCGUUUACGCUACUUCCUAUUUUCAGACUUUCGGGCUUAUGUUGUUAUUUAUAUUUCAGAUGUUUAUUUUCGGAUUUGACUUUAUGGUAUUGUAUUUGACUUUAUUGUAUGACGUGGAUUUUAUUAUCCGUAUUAUUAUUAUUACUUC